UACGUAGGGUGCAAGCGUUGUCCGGAAUUAUUGGGCGUAAAGAGCUCGUAGGUGGUUUGUCGCGUUGUUCGUGAAAUCUCACGGCUUAACUGUGAGCGUGCGGGCGAUACGGGCAGACUGGAGUACUGCAGGGGAGACUGGAAUUCCUGGUGUAGCGGUGGAAUGCGCAGAUAUCAGGAGGAACACCGGUGGCGAAGGCGGGUCUCUGGGCAGUAACUGACGCUGAGGAGCGAAAGCGUGGGGGAGCGAACAGG
rnacentral:rRNA from 1 species